CAGAACCUCAAAGUGUUUGGAAUAUCUUCGGAGCACCCAAGAGUUAGAAACCCAGUGAAAUCUCCUGUGAUGGUUCAUAUUGCUCUGGCACCACAAGGCACUGCUUGAGGACUAGGAAUGUGAGCAGAGGGGAACCCGAGAAGAGUCAAGGUCACCUCCUGGUGUCUGGUGUGAGAAAAGGCUUGGACAACGUGGGACAGAGACCUGGCAGUGGAGCUGCCUGUGGAAUCCAGCUGUCUGGGGACUUGGUAGACCCAGAAGCAUAUGAUGUAGGGCUCAUGAAUUCAGGCUAUGAAGCUAGACUGCUUGCUUCUGCAGCCUGGCUCACUCGUUCAAUAGCUCCGUCCUAUUUCUUUGUGCUUCCAUUUCUCUAGCUUGAAAAUGGAGAAGAUAAUGUCAGUGCUCAUC